rnacentral:lncRNA from 1 species
AUGAAUUCUGGGACUAUGAAGAGCAAGUGGAUCUCGAAGCAUUCAGCUCCAGCACCUUCUAUGACAUCCUACUCAAGCACAGCGUGUCUGUCACAAUACGUCUCCGGGCAGCUCAGAGGAGAGGUGAAGCAUCUCUAUCAGGGGGUGCUGGGGAAGUUGAGAGAGCUCCACCCUGGCUGGAGGAUGUUUGGAGGGAAAACCGAAGGUCUGGAGAGGCAGGUGGAGCAGGAGAUGGUGCGACGAAGAGCACUGGGCAAUCAGCUGACACAGCUGCUGGACAGCCAGCUGCAGAUCCUGCGGGUGGAGAUGAGAGCACAGCAGGCCAUGCAGAAGACCUUCAGAGCACGACUGAGAGAGAGCGCGAGGCUUCUGAGACUGCUGGCUGAGGGUCAGACCUCGCUCUGGGAUAAACACAUCAAGCAACAGUAUGUCAUGGAGAGGCAGAUAUGAAUCUGUCAGUUCUGCUUGUUUAUUCAUGUUUAUAUGUGUGUUCGAGACUUAAACAAAAACACACUUAAAGAAAAAUCCUCAACCACAAAAAAGUGGUUCAUUAAAGUCAACUGAUUAAAGAUAUAUAAUCAAAUUAAUACUAUUAUAAUAAUCUAAUUAAUCAGAAUGAUUUCUGAAGGAUCAUGUGACACUGAAGACUGGCGAAAUGAUGCUGAAAAUUCACCAUCACAGAAAUAAAUGACAUUUUAAAAUAUAUUCAAAUAGAAAACAUUUCACAGUAUUACUAUUUUUUACUGUAUUUUUAAUCAAAUAAAUUUGUAAUAAAAUUGGUGAGAGAUUUCUAGGAGACUACAUUCAAAAACAUUUAAAAAUCUUACCGACCCCAAAUGUUUGAAUGGUGGUGCAUUUUUUUUGUCUAUCACUUGCCUACAGAUCACUGUCGUUUUUACAAUUUACAAUUUUUACAAUCAGGAUACAAAUACUAUUCACAUAUGAUGCAUUCUUUUAUUUCGGCUGUCAUUUUAAAAUAGUAUACGUCCAGGCAAGAAUUUGUUGUAAUUUGAAUUAGUGUUAACUAAAAGCAGUAGAAUGUUUUUGUGUUGCUUCAUUUAGACAGCUAAGUACGUGAAUGUAACUGUAUACUCAAAAUUUCAGGGUUCUCAAUGACUGUAUUGUAAUUAUUUAUAGAAAAACAUAGUUGGUAUAAUGGAGAAUCUUUGUAUCAUCUUCGUCCCAGCCCUCUUAUCGCAUUUUCAGAUCUUAAUCACAAAGGAAGUGAGUAGCUUAAAGCUUUGUCCAGAGUGCACAC